AACGAGGUCGAGAAACAGAUUUAAACCAAGUGUGAAACAUUGCAUCUGUUUGCUAGUACUGUGACAAAACCCCGGAUAGCAGAAAGGUCUGGUUGCUAAAACCAACUCUCCUCUGGACCCGCUUUUUCGAACUCGAGUGAGACUGGACGCUGAACACACCUGCGGCGCGAAGGUUUACUGGUUCAGCUAGCUGCAGCCUGGACAGAAGUACCAGCUCUCACCUGACAAACCAAACAGGUGUCACCACUUUGUCCAUGGUUGCAGAGUGUCUUUGAACGAUGACAAAGUUCUUUGAGACUGGUACUGAGGCCUCCAGGAUUCAAACUUCAACCAUUAAAGCACAGACAAGAAACAGACGUGAAAACAUUUCCAGAAGGUCUUCAGCUGCUUCAGCUUCUCCUUCUGCAGAGACAAGAACAAUUAAUCACAUUUUUUGACAGUGUUUGACACUUACUAUACUAUGACGUGGCUUAAGACAAAGGAACAACCUAAAGUACCCAUCUUACCUUUGUUUUCCACAGAUACACACACCUCUAUACUAUUUAUGGGUUAGGUCAGAUUUAAAUUUUGCUAUUUCAAACAGUGCAAUGUCAGUACUCUUAUCUAUUACUGUGUACAUAGUCCUGUUUAUACUGUUCAUAUUGUGUGUAACUUGUAUAUAUUGUUUUAUAUCUUCUCUUGUAUAUGUAAUGCCCUUCUCUAUUUUUGCUGUUGCAACACUGAAUUUCCCUGUUGUGGGACUGAAAUCUUGCUCAAAUAAAUACUUCUGA